GGGGGGUACCCAACCUAUACGCAGACCCAUUGAGCAGCCAGACUGCCCUAAACAGGGCCAUGGAGUCCUUGUCCCUUCUAAGAGCUGUGGACACCUUGCCUCCAGUUCCCCUCACAGUCCUUUCUUCCUUCUGCAGUGAUCACUGAGUACCUGUGUGAAUGCCAACAAGAAAAAUAAAACCACAGUUUGGAUUCAGGAAAGGUUGCACCACCAUCAGGUCUUGAAGGGAGCUUCGGCUGGGGCAUCUCCCUGAGAAGCAGCAUGGAGCAGCCUAACAGUAAAGGCUAUAGCCUGGGAAGGACCCCUCAGGGCCCAGAGUGCAGCAGUGCUCCUGCAGUCCAAGCGGGGACCCACAGGGGCCUAGAGUAUAACCCGGGGAAGAUUCUUCCAGGAUCAGACUAUGGGUUGGGAAAUCCUCCAGCCCUUGACCCCAAGCUCCCACAUUUACCCCUGCCCCCGGCCCCACCCACACUCUCAGACUUGGGGCAGCCCCAGAAGUCACCCCUGACAGGCACUGAUAAGAAGUACCCGCUGAUGAAGCAGCGUGGGUUCUACUCCGACAUCCUCAGCCCUGGAACCUUAGAUCAACUUGGGGAGGUAUGUCGUGGCCCCCGAAUGAGCCAGAACCUCCUGCGGCAGGCUGACCUUGACAAGUUCACCCCAAGAGUCGGAAGCUUUGAGGUUCCUGAAGACUUCCAGGAGCGCAUGGAGCAGCAGUGCCUCGGGUCCACCACCCGGCUGCUCGCCCAGACUGACUUCCCACUGCAGGCCUACGAGCCCAAGAUGCAGGUGCCUUUCCAGGUGCUGCCAGGCCAGCGUCCUCGCAAGAUUGAGAUCGAGAGGAGGAAACAGCAGUACCUGAGCCUGGACAUUGAGCAGUUGCUGUUCAGCCAGGGCAUCGACUCCAACAAGCUCAUGCCCAGGCACCUGGACCCCCAGCACCCCCAAACCAUCGAGCAGGGCCAUGACCCAAUCUUCCCCAUCUACCUCCCACUGAAGGUAUUUGACAAUGAGGACUUUGACUGCCGGACUCCCAGAGAGUGGAUCAACAUGGGCUUGGAGCCAGGGUCUCUGGACAGGAAACCUGUCCCGGGAAAAGCCCUCCUGCCCACUGAUGACUUCCUGGGGCAUGAGGACCCCAAGAGUCAGAAGCUGAAGUACAAAUGGUGCGAGGUCGGCGUCCUGGACUACGACGAGGAGAAGAAGCUAUACCUGGUACACAAGACAGACGAGAAAGGCCUGGUGCGAGAUGAGAUGGGGAGGCCCAUCCUGAAUGCAGGGGUCACCACUGAAGGAAGGCCACCCCUUCAGGUCUGUCAGUACUGGGUGCCACGGAUCCAGCUUCUCUUCUGCGCUGAGGACCCUUGCAUGUUCGCACAACGUGUGGUCCAGGCCAACGCCCUGCGCAAGAACACGGAAGCGCUGCUGCUCUACAACUUGUAUGUGGACUGCAUGCCCUCUGACGGCCAGCAUGUCAUCAGUGAACAGAGCCUGAGCAAGAUCAAGCAGUGGGCCCUGAGCACGCCUCGGAUGCGCAAAGGCCCCUCGGUUCUAGAGCACCUCAGCAGUCUUGCCAGAGAAGUGAGCCUGGACUAUGAGCGCAGCAUGAACAAGAUCAACUUUGACCACGUUGUCUCUUCUAAGCCCGAGACCUUCUCCUACGUGACCCUCCCCAAGAAGGAGGAGGAGCAGGUGCCUGAGCGAGGGCUGGUGAGUGUCCCCAAGUACCACUUCUGGGAGCAGAAGGAGGACUUCACUUUUGUGUCCCUGCUCACACGGCCAGAGGUCAUCACGGCCCUCAGCAAGGUGAGGGCCGAGUGCAACAAGGUGACUGCCAUGUCCCUGUUCCACUCGAGCCUCUCCAAGUACAGCCACCUGGAGGAAUUUGAGCAGAUCCAGUCACAGACCUUCUCCCAGGUGCAGAUGUUCCUCAAGGACAGCUGGAUCAGCUCGCUAAAGGUGGCCAUGCGCAGCAGCCUGCGCGACAUGAGCAAGGGCUGGUACAACCUCUACGAGACCAACUGGGAGGUGUACCUCAUGUCCAAGCUGCGCAAGCUGAUGGAGCUGGUGAAGAACAUGCUGCAGGACACACUGCGCUUCCUGGUGCAGGACUCACUUGCCAGCUUCUCACAGUUCAUCAGCGACACCUGUUGCAGUGUGCUCAACUGCACCGAUGACAUGGUCUGGGGUGAUGACUUAAUUAACAGCCCCUACAGGCCCCGGAAGAAUCCCCUGUUCAUCGUGGACCUGGUGCUGGACAGCUCUGGGGUGCACUAUAGCACCCCACUGGAGCAGUUUGAGGCAUCUCUGCUGAACCUCUUCGACAAGGGCAUCCUGGCCACCCAUGCCGUGCCCCAGCUGGAGAAGCUGGUGAUGGAGGACAUCUUCAUCAGCGGUGACCCCCUGCUGGAGUCCGUGGGCCUUCAUGAGCCACUGGUGGAAGAGCUACGGGCCACCAUUGCCAGUGCCGUGUCCAAGGCCAUGAUCCCACUGCAGGCCUACGCCAAGGAGUACCGAAAGUACCUGGAGCUGAACAACAAUGACAUUGCCUCCUUUCUCAAAACCUACCAGACGCAGGGCCUGUUGGCCCAGGAGGUGCGGGAGGUAGUGCUCACCCACCUGCGGGAGAAGGAGAUCCUGGACAGCUCGCUGCCCAGCAGCAUCAUCAUUGGGCCUUUCUACAUCAACACCGACAAUGUCAAGCAGAGCCUGUCCAAGAAACGCAAGGCCCUGGCCACUUCCGUGCUGGACAUCCUUGCCAAGAACCUGCAUAAGGAGGUGGAUAGCAUCUGCGAGGAGUUCCGCAGCAUCAGCCGCAAGAUCUAUGAGAAGCCCAACAGCAUUGAGGAGCUGGCUGAGCUGCGAGAGUGGAUGAAGGGCAUCCCGGAGAGGCUGGUGGGCCUGGAGGAGCGGAUUGUGAAGGUCAUGGAUGACUACCAGGUCAUGGAUGAAUUCCUCUACAACCUCAGCUCAGAUGACUUCAAUGACAAAUGGAUUGCCAGCAACUGGCCUUCUAAGAUCCUUGGGCAGAUAGAGCUGGUGCAGCAGCAGCAUGUGGAGGAUGAGGAGAAGUUCCGCAAAAUCCAGAUCAUGGAUCAGAACAACUUCCAAGAGAAGCUGGAAGGGCUGCAGCUGGUAGUAGCUGGCUUCUCCAUCCACGUGGAGAUUUCACGUGCACACGAGAUCGCCAACGAGGUGCGGCGUGUCAAGAAGCAGCUGAAGGACUGCCAGCAGCUGGCCAUGCUCUACAACAACCGCGAGCGCAUCUUCAGCUUGCCCAUCACCAAUUAUGACAAGCUCUCCAGGAUGGUGAAGGAGUUCCAACCCUACCUGGACCUUUGGACCACAGCGUCUGACUGGCUGCGCUGGUCGGAGAGCUGGAUGAAUGACCCCCUCUCUGCCAUCGAUGCUGAGCAGCUGGAGAAGAACGUGGUUGAAGCCUUCAAGACCAUGCACAAGUGCGUGAAGCAGUUCAAGGACAUGCCAGGUAGGGAGCCAAGCCGGCCAAUCCCCUCCUCCCUGCCUCUGCCGCCUGCCUCUCAUGCGUUUCUGUCUUACCCGGCAGCCUGCCAGGAAGUGGCCUUGGACAUCCGGGCCCGCAUCGAGGAGUUCAAACCAUACAUCCCACUGAUCCAGGGGCUGCGCAACCCUGGCAUGCGGAUCCGGCACUGGGAGACACUGUCCAACCAGAUCAACAUCAAUGUCAGGCCCAAGGCCAACCUGACCUUUGCUCGCUGCCUGGAGAUGAACCUGCAGGACCAUAUCGAGAGCAUCAGCAAGGUGGCUGAGGUGGCUGGCAAGGAGUACGCCAUUGAGCAGGCACUGGACAAGAUGGAGAAGGAGUGGUCGACCAUCCUGUUCAGUGUACUGCCCUACAAGGCGACAGACACCUACAUCCUGAAGAGCCCAGACGAGGCCUCGCAGCUGCUGGACGACCACAUCGUCAUGACCCAGAGCAUGUCAUUUUCACCCUACAAGAAGCCCUUUGAGCAGCGCAUCAACUCCUGGGAGAACAAACUGAAGCUGACCCAGGAGGUUCUGGAGGAGUGGCUGAACUGUCAGCGGUCCUGGCUCUACCUGGAGCCCAUCUUUAGCUCUGAGGACAUCAACCAGCAGCUGCCUGUGGAGAGCAAGCGCUACCAGACCAUGGAGCGGAUCUGGAAGAAGAUCAUGAAGAAUGCCUACGAAAACCGGGAGGUGAUCAACGUGUGUUCCGACCUGAGAAUGCUGGACAGCCUGCGGGACUGCAACAAGAUUCUGGACCUGGUGCAGAAGGGCCUCAGCGAGUAUCUGGAGACCAAGCGGAGCGCCUUCCCCAGAUUCUACUUCCUGUCAGAUGACGAACUACUAGAGAUCUUGUCGCAGACAAAGGACCCCACGGCCGUGCAGCCACACCUGCGCAAGUGCUUCGAGAACAUCGCUCGGCUGCUGUUCCAGGAGGACCUGGAGAUCACGCACAUGUACUCAGCCGAGGGGGAGGAGGUACAGUUGUGCUUCUCCAUCUACCCCUCCAGCAACGUGGAGGACUGGCUGCGGGAGGUGGAGCGCAGCAUGAAGGCCAGUGUGCACGACAUCAUUGAGAAGGCCAUCAGGGCCUACCCCAUGAUGCCCAGGACCCAGUGGGUUCUGAACUGGCCUGGCCAGGUGACCAUCGCUGGGUGCCAGACCUACUGGACCAUGGAGGUGGCAGAGGCUCUGGAGGCCGGCGACCUCAGAAGCCAACUGUUCCCCCAGCUCUGCCAGCAGCUCAGUGAUCUGGUGGCCCUUGUGCGGGGGAAGCUGUCCCGCCUGCAGCGGGCAGUGCUGUCAGUGCUAAUCGUCAUUGAGGUCCACGCCAAGGACGUGGUGAGCAAGCUAAUCCAGGAGAACGUGGUCAGCGUGAAUGACUUCGAGUGGAUCUCACAGCUGAGGUACUACUGGACAAAUAAUGACCUGUAUAUCCGUGCUGUGAAUGCUGAGUUCAUCUAUGGCUAUGAGUACCUGGGCAACAGUGGGAGGCUGGUGAUCACGCCCCUCACCGACAGGUGCUACCUGACACUGAUCGGAGCUCUGCACCUCAAGUUUGGGGGUGCCCCAGCUGGCCCAGCUGGCACAGGCAAAACUGAGACCACCAAAGACCUGGGUAAGGCCUUGGCCAUACAGACCAUUGUGUUCAACUGCUCUGACCAGCUCGACUUCUUGGCCAUGGGCAAGUUCUUCAAGGGCCUGGCCAGUGCUGGGGCCUGGGCCUGCUUCGACGAGUUCAAUCGCAUCGACAUCGAGGUGCUGUCUGUGGUGGCGCAGCAGAUCACCACCAUCCAGAAGGCGCAGCAGCAGCGGGUGGAACGCUUCAUGUUUGAGGGUGUGGAGAUCCCACUGGUGCCAUCCUGCGCAGUGUUUAUCACCAUGAACCCGGGCUACGCUGGCCGCACGGAGCUGCCUGACAAUCUGAAGGCGCUCUUCCGACCCGUGGCCAUGAUGGUUCCAGAUUACGCCAUGAUCGCUGAGAUCUCCCUCUAUUCCUUUGGCUUUAAUGAGGCCAGUGUGCUGGCUAAGAAGAUCACAACCACCUUCAAGCUGUCUUCUGAGCAGCUCAGCUCCCAGGAUCACUAUGACUUCGGGAUGAGAGCCGUGAAAACUGUGAUCUCGGCUGCUGGGAACCUCAAGCGAGAAAACCCCAGCAUGAAUGAGGAGCUGAUCUGCCUCCGGGCCAUCUGUGAUGUGAACGUGCCCAAGUUCCUGCAGGAGGACCUCAAGCUCUUCUCUGGGAUCGUGUCCGACCUGUUUCCCACCAUCAAGGAGGAGGACACGGACUACGGCAUCCUGGAUGAGGCCAUCCGCGAGGCCUGCAGGAACAGCAACCUCAAGGAUGUGGAGGGCUUCCUGACAAAGUGCAUCCAGCUCUACGAGACCACGGUGGUACGACACGGCCUCAUGCUCGUCGGGCCCACAGGCUCCGGCAAGAGUACUUGUUACAGAGUCCUGGCAGCUGCCAUGACGUCACUGAAAGGGCAGCCAUCCAUCAGUGGUGGCAUGUACGAGGCUGUCAACUACUACGUGCUCAACCCCAAGUCCAUCACGAUGGGCCAGCUGUACGGGGAGUUUGACCUCCUCACCCAUGAGUGGACAGACGGGAUAUUCUCCUCGUUCAUCCGGGCGGGGGCCAUCACCUCCGACACCAACAAGAAGUGGUACAUGUUUGAUGGGCCGGUGGAUGCCAUCUGGAUUGAGAACAUGAACACGGUGCUGGAUGACAACAAGAAGCUGUGCCUCAGCUCUGGGGAGAUCAUCAAGCUCACAGAGGCAAUGACCAUGAUGUUCGAGGUGCAAGACCUGGCGGUGGCUUCACCAGCUACGGUCUCCCGCUGUGGCAUGGUGUACCUGGAGCCCAGCAUCCUGGGGCUCAUGCCCUUCAUCGAGUGCUGGCUGAGGAAGCUGCCUCCCUUGCUGAAGCCCUACGAGGAGCAUUUCAAGGCCCUCUUUGUCAGCUUCCUGGAGGAAUCCAUCUCCUUCGUUCGGUCCUCAGUGAAGGAGGUGAUCGCCUCAACCAACUGCAACCUGAUCAUGAGCCUCCUCAAGCUGCUGGACUGCUUCUUCAAGCCCUUUCUGCCUAGAGAGGGCCUCAAGAAAAUACCCUCUGAAAAGCUGAGUCGCAUCGUAGAGUUGAUCGAGCCCUGGUUCAUCUUCUCCCUGAUCUGGAGCGUGGGUGCCACUGGGGACAGCAGUGGCCGCACCAGUUUCAGCCACUGGCUAAGGCUCAAGAUGGAGAACGAACAGCUGACUCUGCUUUUCCCAGAAGAGGGGCUGGUGUUCGAUUACAGGCUGGAGGACGCGGGCAUCAGUGGCACCAACGACAGUGAGGAUGAAGAGGAGGAAUAUAAGCAGGUUGCCUGGGUGAAGUGGAUGGACUCCUCAGCUCCAUUCACCAUGGUACCAGACACCAACUACUGCAACAUCAUUGUGCCCACCAUGGACACCGUGCAGAUGUCCCAUUUACUGGACAUGCUGCUCACCAACAAGAAGCCCGUGCUGUGCAUUGGGCCAACAGGCACGGGGAAGACGCUCACCAUCUCUGACAAGCUCCUCAGGAACCUGGCACUGGAUUACGUCAGCCACUUCCUCACCUUCUCAGCCCGCACUUCAGCCAACCAGACCCAGGACUUCAUUGACAGCAAGCUGGACAAGAGGCGGAAGGGUGUGUUUGGACCACCUCUGGGGCGCAACUUUAUCUUCUUCAUCGAUGACCUGAACAUGCCGGCCCUGGAGACCUACGGUGCACAGCCACCCAUCGAGCUGUUGCGCCAGUGGAUGGACCACGGCGGCUGGUACGACCGCAAGAUCAUUGGUGCCUUCAAGAACCUAGUGGACAUCAACUUUGUCUGUGCCAUGGGCCCCCCGGGUGGAGGCAGGAACACCGUCACCCCGCGGCUGAUGCGUCACUUCAACUACCUGUCUUUCGCUGAGAUGGACGAGGUCAGCAAGAAACGCAUCUUCUCCACCAUCCUGGGCAACUGGUUGGAUGGACUCCUUGGAGAAAAAAGCUACCGGGAGCCUGUGCCUGGGGCCCCCCACAUUGCCCACUUCACGGAGCCCCUUGUGGAAGCCACCAUCAUGGUGUAUGCAACCAUCACCUCCCAGCUGCUGCCCACUCCAGCCAAGUCCCACUACACCUUCAACCUGAGGGACCUCUCCAAGGUCUUCCAAGGCAUGCUCAUGGCUGACCCGGCCAAGGUCGAGGACCAAGUGCAGCUGCUGCGUCUGUGGUAUCACGAGAACUGCCGCGUGUUCCGGGACCGACUGGUGAAUGAGGAGGACCGCAGCUGGUUCGACCAGCUCCUCAAGCGCUGCAUGGAGCAGUGGGAGGUGACCUUCAACAAGGUCUGCCCCUUCCAGCCCAUUCUUUACGGGGACUUCAUGUCACCAGGCUCCGAUGUCAAGUCCUACGAGCUCAUCACCAGUGAGAGUAAGAUGAUGCAGGUGAUCGAGGAGUACAUAGAGGACUACAACCAGAUCAACACGGCCAAGCUGAAGCUGGUCCUCUUCAUGGACGCCAUGAGCCACAUCUGUCGCAUCAGCCGCACCCUACGCCAGGCGCUGGGCAAUGCACUCCUGCUGGGUGUGGGUGGCAGCGGCCGCAGCUCCCUCACAAGGCUCGCCUCGCACAUGGCCGAGUACGAGUGCUUCCAGAUUGAACUAUCCAAGAACUACGGCAUGUCCGAGUGGCGAGAUGAUGUGAAGAAGGUCCUGCUCAAGGCGGGCCUACAGAACCUACCCAUCACCUUCCUCUUCUCAGACACCCAGAUCAAGAACGAAUCCUUCCUGGAAGAUAUCAACAACGUCCUAAACUCUGGUGACAUUCCCAAUCUCUAUACUGCGGACGAGCAGGACCAGAUCGUCAGCACCAUGCGGCCCUAUAUCCAGGAGCAGGGCCUACAGCCCACCAAGGCCAACCUCAUGGCUGCUUACACCGGGCGUGUGCGCAGCAACAUCCACAUGGUGCUGUGCAUGAGCCCCAUCGGAGAGGUCUUCCGAGCUCGUCUGAGGCAGUUUCCGUCCCUGGUCAACUGCUGUACCAUCGACUGGUUUAACGAGUGGCCGGCAGAAGCCCUGAAGUCUGUGGCCACCAUGUUCCUCAAUGAGAUCCCAGAACUGGAAUCCUCCCAGGAAGAAAUCCAAGGACUGAUCCAGGUCUGUGUGUACAUCCACCAGUCAGUGUCCAAGAAGUGCAUCGAGUACCUGGCAGAGCUGACCCGCCACAACUAUGUGACCCCCAAGAGCUACUUGGAGCUGCUUCAUAUUUUCUCCAUCCUCAUCGGGCAGAAGAAACUGGAGCUGAAAACUGCCAAGAACCGCAUGAAGAGCGGCCUCGACAAGCUGCUGCGCACUUCUGAGGAUGUAGCCAAGAUGCAGGAGGACCUGGAGAGUAUGCACCCCCUGCUGGAGGAGGCUGCCAAGGACACCAUGCUCACCAUGGAGCAGAUCAAGGUGGAUACGGCCAUCGCCGAGGAGACCCGGAAUUCAGUGCAGACAGAGGAGAUCAAAGCCAAUGAGAAGGCCAAGAAGGCACAAGCUAUUGCUGACGAUGCCCAGAAGGACCUGGACGAGGCGUUGCCAGCCCUGAAUGCUGCUCUGGCCAGCCUGCGCAACCUCAACAAGAACGAUGUGACCGAGGUACGUGCCAUGCAGCGGCCACCCCCGGGUGUGAAACUGGUCAUAGAAGCUGUGUGCAUCAUGAAAGGCAUCAAGCCCAAGAAGGUGCCUGGAGAAAAGCCAGGCACCAAGGUGGAUGACUACUGGGAGCCUGGCAAGGGGCUGCUGCAGGACCCGGGCCACUUCCUUGAGAGCCUCUUCAAGUUUGACAAGGACAACAUUGGGGAUGUGGUGAUCAAAGCCAUCCAGCCGUACAUCGAUAAUGAAGAGUUCCAGCCAGCCGCCAUUGCCAAGGUGUCCAAGGCUUGCACCUCCAUCUGCCAGUGGGUGCGCGCCAUGCACAAGUACCACUUUGUGGCCAAGGCCGUGGAGCCUAAGCGGCAAGCCCUGCUGGAGGCCCAGGACGACCUGGGGGUGACACAGAGGAUCCUGGAUGAGGCAAAACAGCGCCUUCGUGAGGUGGAGGACGGCAUCGCCACAAUGCAGGCUAAGUACCGGGAAUGCAUUACCAAGAAGGAGGAGCUGGAGCUGAAGUGUGAGCAGUGUGAGCAGCGGCUGGGCCGAGCUGGCAAGGUGCGCACCCUCCUCCUGCAAGGCGUGCAAGCGGGCCCGGCCCAGACAGGGGCCAGAAAGGACCAGGGCGCCGGUGGGUCCUGGGGUGGCUGUCCACACCCCCUCCCUGGCAACCCCAGGUGCCACAGUGGGUAGGGCCAGCCCCAGGCCCCUAGCCCAGCCUCCCAGAGCCCACCCCACGGGGCUGCCCCUCCAGCUCAUCAACGGGCUGUCGGAUGAGAAGGUGCGCUGGCAGGAGACGGUGGAGAACCUGCAGUACAUGCUCAACAACAUCUCCGGCGAUGUCCUGGUGGCCGCUGGCUUUGUGGCCUACCUGGGCCCCUUCACGGGCCAGUACCGCACGGUGCUCUACGACAGCUGGGUCAAGCAGCUCAGGAGCCACAAUGUCCCACACACCUCCGAGCCCACGCUAAUCGGGACGCUGGGGAACCCUGUGAAGAUCCGAUCGUGGCAGAUCGCUGGCCUCCCCAACGACACACUGUCAGUGGAGAACGGGGUCAUCAACCAGUUUUCCCAGCGCUGGACCCACUUCAUUGACCCUCAGAGCCAGGCCAACAAAUGGAUCAAGAACAUGGAGAAGGACAAUGGGCUGGAUGUGUUCAAGUUGAGUGACCGCGACUUCCUGCGCAGCAUGGAGAACGCCAUCCGCUUUGGCAAGCCAUGUCUCCUGGAGAACGUGGGCGAGGAGCUAGACCCAGCCCUGGAGCCGGUGCUGCUCAAGCAGACGUACAAGCAGCAGGGAAACACGGUGCUGAAGCUGGGGGACACGGUGAUCCCCUACCAUGAGGACUUCAGGAUGUACAUCACCACCAAGCUGCCCAACCCACACUACACGCCCGAGAUCUCCACCAAACUCACCCUCAUCAACUUCACCCUGUCGCCCAGUGGCCUAGAGGACCAGCUACUGGGCCAGGUAGUGGCAGAGGAGCGACCCGACCUGGAGGAGGCCAAGAACCAGCUGAUUAUCAGUAAUGCCAAGAUGCGCCAGGAGCUGAAGGACAUUGAGGACCAAAUCCUGUACCGGCUCAGCUCCUCCGAGGGCAACCCUGUAGAUGACAUGGAACUCAUCAAGGUGCUGGAAGCCUCCAAGAUGAAGGCUGCUGAGAUCCAGGCCAAAGUCAGAAUUGCAGAGCAGACGGAGAAGGACAUCGACCUGACGCGCAUGGAGUACAUACCCGUGGCCGUCCGCACCCAGAUCCUCUUCUUCUGUGUGUCCGACCUGGCCAACGUGGACCCCAUGUACCAGUACUCCCUCGAGUGGUUUCUCAACAUCUUCCUCUCGGGCAUCGCCAACUCAGAGAGAGCAGAAAACCUGAAGAAGCGCAUCUCCAACAUCAACCGCUACCUGACCUACAGCCUCUACAGCAACGUCUGCCGCAGCCUCUUUGAGAAGCACAAGCUGAUGUUUGCCUUCCUGCUGUGUGUUCGCAUCAUGAUGAACGAGGGCAAAAUCAACCAGAGUGAGUGGCGAUACCUCCUGUCCGGGGGCUCCAUCUCGAUCAUGACUGAGAAUCCGGCACCGGACUGGCUGUCAGACCGGGCUUGGCGAGACAUCCUAGCACUCUCGAACCUGCCAACCUUUUCCUCCUUCUCUUCCGACUUCGUGAAGCACCUCUCAGAAUUCCGGGUCAUCUUCGACAGCCUUGAGCCCCACCGGGAGCCUUUGCCUGGCAUCUGGGACCAGUACCUAGACCAGUUCCAGAAGCUGCUAGUCCUCCGCUGCCUGCGUGGGGACAAGGUUACCAACGCCAUGCAGGACUUUGUGGCCACCAACCUGGAGCCACGCUUCAUUGAGCCCCAGACAGCCAAUCUGUCAGUGGUGUUCAAAGACUCCAACUCCACCACACCCCUCAUCUUUGUGCUGUCACCCGGCACAGACCCUGCUGCCGACCUCUACAAGUUUGCCGAAGAAAUGAAGUUCUCCAAAAAGCUCUCUGCCAUCUCCCUGGGCCAGGGGCAGGUCAGGGCUAGGCAGGGAGGAAGGGAGUGGGCUGGGGGGUGGGCAAGCUGGCCCCCUGCUCAGUGCUCUUGCCCCUGCAGGGCCCUCGGGCAGAAGCCAUGAUGCUCAGCUCCAUAGAGAGGGGCAAAUGGGUCUUCUUCCAGAACUGCCACCUGGCACCAAGCUGGAUGCCAGCCCUAGAACGCCUCAUCGAGCACAUCAACCCCGACAAGGUACACAGGGACUUCCGCCUCUGGCUCACCAGCCUGCCCAGCAACAAGUUCCCAGUGUCCAUCCUGCAGAACGGCUCCAAGAUGACCAUUGAGCCGCCACGCGGUGUCAAGGCCAACCUGCUGAAGUCCUAUAGUAGCCUUGGUGAAGACUUCCUCAACUCCUGCCACAAGGUGAGGCACACUUGGUGCAGGCCUACCCUACCUGCCCCUGUCCCCGCUCCUCACCUCCCCUGCCUCCCACGUCCCCCAGGUGAUGGAGUUCAAGUCUCUGCUGCUAUCUCUGUGCUUGUUCCAUGGGAACGCCCUGGAGCGCCGUAAGUUUGGGCCCCUGGGCUUCAACAUCCCCUAUGAGUUCACGGAUGGAGAUCUGCGCAUCUGCAUCAGCCAGCUCAAGAUGUUCCUGGACGAAUAUGAUGACAUCCCCUACAAGGUGGGCCUGGGGCAGACUGGGGCCUGGGGGACUGGGCACUUAGGGGAGCCCUCACCCACCCACCCCAUAGGUCCUCAAGUACACGGCAGGGGAGAUCAAUUACGGGGGCCGUGUCACUGAUGACUGGGACCGGCGCUGCAUCAUGAACAUCCUGGAGGACUUCUACAACCCUGACGUGCUCUCCCCUGAGCACAGCUACAGCGCCUCGGGCAUCUACCACCAGCUCCCGCCUACCUACGACCUCCACGGCUACCUCUCCUACAUCAAGAGCCUCCCACUCAAUGAUAUGCCUGAGAUCUUUGGCCUGCAUGACAAUGCCAACAUCACCUUUGCCCAGAACGAGACGUUCGCCCUCCUGGGCACCAUCAUCCAGCUGCAACCCAAAUCAUCUUCUGCAGGCAGCCAGGGCCGGGAGGAGAUAGUGGAGGACGUCACCCAAAACAUUCUGCUCAAGGUGCCUGAGCCUAUCAACUUGCAAUGGGUGAUGGCCAAGUACCCAGUGCUGUAUGAGGAAUCAAUGAACACAGUGCUAGUACAAGAGGUCAUUAGGUACAAUCGGCUGCUGCAGGUGAUCACACAGACACUGCAAGACCUACUCAAGGCACUCAAGGGGCUGGUAGUGAUGUCCUCUCAGCUGGAGCUGAUGGCUGCCAGCCUGUACAACAAUACUGUGCCUGAGCUCUGGAGUGCCAAGGCCUACCCAUCGCUCAAGCCUCUGUCAUCAUGGGUCAUGGACCUGCUGCAACGCCUGGACUUUCUGCAGGCCUGGAUCCAAGAUGGCAUCCCAGCUGUCUUCUGGAUCAGUGGCUUCUUCUUCCCCCAGGCUUUCUUAACAGGCACUCUGCAGAAUUUUGCCCGCAAAUUUGUCAUCUCCAUUGACACCAUCUCCUUUGAUUUCAAGGUGAUGUUUGAGGCACCAUCAGAGUUAACACAAAGACCCCAAGUAGGGUGCUAUAUCCAUGGAUUAUUCCUGGAAGGUGCCCGCUGGGAUCCAGAGGCCUUCCAGCUGGCUGAAUCUCAGCCCAAGGAGCUGUACACAGAGAUGGCCGUUAUCUGGCUCUUGCCAACACCCAACCGCAAGGCCCAGGACCAGGACUUUUACCUGUGCCCCAUCUACAAGACACUGACUCGUGCUGGAACACUAUCAACCACAGGACACUCUACCAACUAUAUCAUUGCUGUGGAGAUCCCCACCCAUCAGCCCCAGCGACACUGGAUAAAGCGUGGUGUGGCCCUCAUCUGUGCCCUGGACUACUAGACUCAGACAGAAGGGCUGGGGCCAUUAAAGUUGAAUUUUCUAAGC
rnacentral:sRNA from 1 species